rnacentral:rRNA from 1 species
AGCAUAUCAAUAAGCGGAGGAAAAGAAACCAACAGGGAUUGCCUCAGUAACUGCGAGUGAAGCGGCAAAAGCUCAAAUUUGAAAUCUGGCGUUCAUUUGGAUGUCCGAGUUGUAAUUUGGAGGAGCGUCUUCGGGAGUGGACACCGUCCUAAGUUCUUUUGGAACUGGACAUCAUAGAGGGUGAGAAUCCCGUGCCUGGGCGGCAGUCUAUUCCCAUGCGAAGCGUUUCCGACGAGUCGAGUUGUUUGGGAAUGCAGCUCAAAACGGGUGGUAAAUUUCAUCUAAAGCUAAAUAUUGGCGAGAGACCGAUAGCGCACAAGUAGAGUGAUCGAAAGAUGAAAAGCACUUUGAAAAGAGAGUUAAAAAGUACGUGAAAUUGUUGAAAGGGAAGCGCUUGAGAUUGAACCUGGAAGGGAUGACUUGCAAGGGUGGGGAGGCUUCGUGCUUUUCUGCCUUUAACAAUUGGCCAUCACCACUCCAGGCCACCAUCGGUUCUGACGGCGAGAAAAACGGCCAGGGAAUGUGGCUCCCUUCGGGGAGUGUUUAUAGACCUAGCUCAUUUGCGCCAGUUGGGACCGAGGAAUAGAGCGAGCUGGGAUUUCGAUCCCAUGACCUCAAGGAUGUGUGGCAUGUUGAUCUUAAGCGACCCGUCUUGAAACACGGACCAAGGAGUCUAACAUCUAUGCGAGUGUUCGGGUGGAAAACCCUUGCGCGUAAUGAAAGUGAACGGAGGUGGGAACCGCGAUUCGUUGUGGUGCACCAUCGACCGAUCCUGAUGUCUUCGGAAGGAUUUGAGUAUGAGCAUAGCUGUUGGGACCCGAAAGAUGGUGAACUAUGCCUGAAUAGGGUGAAGCCAGAGGAAACUCUGGUGGAGGCUCGCAGCGGUUCUGACGUGCAAAUCGAUCGUCAAAUUUGGGUAUAGGGGCGAAAGACUAAUCGAACCAUCUAGUAGCUGGUUCCUGCCG